rnacentral:rRNA from 1 species
CAGCAGCCACGGUAAUACGGAGGAUCCAAGCGUUAUCCGGAAUCAUUGGGUUUAAAGGGUCCGUAGGCGGUCUUGUAAGUCAGUGGUGAAAGCCCAUCGCUCAACGGUGGAACGGCCAUUGAUACUGCAGGACUUGAAUUAUUGGGAAGUAACUAGAAUAUGUAGUGUAGCGGUGAAAUGCUUAGAGAUUACAUGGAAUACCAAUUGCGAAGGCAGGUUACUACCAAUUGAUUGACGCUGAUGGACGAAAGCGUGGGUAGCGAACAGGAUUAGAUACCCCAGUAGUCCCUGUCUCUUAUAA